rnacentral:misc_RNA from 1 species
AACGCACGAGACCUGCGGACCUGCGGAGGGAUCAUUAAUUAAUUUUGGAAAAAUAUUUCUUUUUCCAAUCUUUACCUUUACUGUGAAUCGUAUUUAACUAUAUGACGUUUUGAGGGAUGUCCAAAUUGUUAUAUGGGUAGACAUUUGGAAUGAUUUUUAACCUAGUCAUAGUCAAGCUUAGGCUUGGUACCCUAUUUAUUAUUUACCAAAAGAAUUCAGAAUUUUAAAUUGUAACAUAGA